rnacentral:tRNA from 1 species
GCGGUCGUGGCGGAAUUGGCAGACGCGCACGGUUGAGGGCCGUGUGCCGCAAGGCGUGUGGGUUCAAGUCCCACCGACCGCACCA